rnacentral:rRNA from 1 species
CUCGUAGGGUGCGAGCGUUGUCCGGAAUUAUUGGGCGUGAAGGGCUCGUAGGCGGUUUGUCGCGUCGGCCGUGAAAACCUGCAGCUUAACUGUGGGCUUGCGGUCGAUACGGGCAUCACUGGAGUUCGGCAGGGGAGACUGGAAUUCCUGGUGUAGCGGUGAAAUGCGCAGAUAUCAGGAGGAACACCGGUGGCGAAGGCGGGUCUCUGGGCCGAUACUGACGCUGAGGAGCGAAAGCGUGGGGAGCGAACAGG